rnacentral:lncRNA from 1 species
GGUGUGGUGAGUGAAAUGGAGAAGGCUAAACUUUUUCUUCCCACAUGCUCACUUCCUUGCUUGUUCGCUAGCUGCUGCAUCUGGCCCCUCAAGGGUAAAGUCAAGGGGAAAAGGAGAUUGAGAGGAAGGACAGUCUGUGAAUUGGGUCUCACCGUGUUUCCCAGGCUGAAGUACAGUGUUGUGAUAUCAGUUCAUUGCAACUUCUGUCUUCUGAGCUCAAGCAAUCCUCUUGCCUCAGCCUCUCAAGUAGCUGGGACUGACUACAGGCAUGAACCACCACACCUGGCUAAUUUUUUUUGUAUUUUUGUCGAAAAGACAGUUUCGCCAUGUUGUACAGAACUACUUCUCAAAUCACUAUUCACAUCCUGGUAGAAGUCAAGCAAUGAAGAUGGCACAGAAACACAUCCCAAAUACUAUGAUACCAUAAAGUAUACUGUAGCAAUGCAUUGGCACACCCUCAUUUGAACAUUUGUCUCAGAAGAUUUUGACAGAAGAUAAAAUUGUCUGGUUUUUAUUUCAUUGGUUUCAUGAAAAUUUAUUUCACUGGUUUCAUGUCACAGGCCCAUGACUGUAUAAAGAGUCAUAAUCUUUACAAACACAACAAUGACUCACAGCGACAUGUUGCAAAGCUGUAAUCGAAAACACUGAUGUUGAUUUCAGAGGCCAUUAAUGGUGUUAAGAAGGCGCUUUUGUUAACCAAAUAAUUGAAUACUCGUAAUUACUUUUCAGUUCUAGUUCAGUUCUUGACACCAAAACAAGCCAUUUUCUUUACAUAGUGAAUGCAGAACUUGCCAGUAAGAACUUUCAUACUAAACUUCUAUGUAAAACAAAACAUGUCAAAAUCAGUAACUACUUUAAUGGAAUGGUAAAGAAUUUACUUAAACACAAAGGAAUGAAAAUAUCUCUGCAAAUAUGUCUAUUGACUUUUCAAAUUUGGUGACUUCUUUCGAAUUAAUUCCCUUACGUCUGUUCCUCAUCCACAUAAAAAUGACAAAAAUGAAAGAUAAUUUUCCAGCCUAUAAUUAAAUUUCUCCAUUGUUGGUAUAUGUUUUUUCAAAUACAUUUUUCAGUUUUCAUAAUUCAUAUGAGAAUUAUUAAAAGGGAGUUAGUUGCCUUUAGGACCUUAUUUGGAGCCUAAUUCUUAAAAAUUGUGUAAAAAUAAUUGUGACUUUUAAGAGACAAUUGGAAAUUUGAACCUGACCACAUUUUUGUGAUAUUAAGGAAUUUUAUUAAUUAUUUUCUAGGUGGGGGAAUGAUAUGAUGAUAUUCUUAAAAUAAUGUGUGGAUUGUUUAUUACAUUUCAACAUUUUCUUAAUCA